CCGCCCUCCCUCCAUGGAUCGGCUCCUUCCCCAGCACUGAAGGCAUCCUUAGGAAUACACCUCCACCUCCAGGAAAAUAAAAAGAGGCAGAGAAGAGUCUUAACAGAACAGAGAUGAUCCAAGGAGAGAGGGAGAGAGAAUAAAGUUGAUCCAGAUGAGUGAGUGAGUCAGGGAUUUGAGGGCAGCACCAUACACACCAGAAGGAAGGAGAGCUCCUGUGUUUGAACCCAGGCCAGCCUCCAAAUGUCAUGAUUGCUGACUGAGGUUUCUCCUUUGCUGUCUUGAAAUAUGUCUAGUCUAAUAAAGGACUAGGGGUGACAUGAUAGCAGUGUUCCAAUAUUUGAGGGGCUGCCACAAAGAAGAGGCAGUCAAUCUAUUCUCCAGAGCAUCUGAAGCAGUGGUGGGCUGCUACCGCCUGUAACAGCCGGAUCGCCUGAACCGUUCCAAACCACCAGCAGCCGGCCACUGA